rnacentral:rRNA from 1 species
UUAAUUGAAGAGUUUGAUCAUGGCUCAGAUUGAACGCUGGCGGCAGGCCUAACACAUGCAAGUCGAGCGGCAGCGACUUAACUGAACCUUCGGGGAACGUUAAGGGCGGCGAGCGGCGGACGGGUGAGUAAUGCCUGGGAAUAUGCCCUGAUGUGGGGGAUAACUAUUGGAAACGAUAGCUAAUACCGCAUAAUCUCUUCGGAGCAAAGAGGGGGACCUUCGGGCCUCUCGCGUCAGGAUUAGCCCAGGUGGGAUUAGCUUGUUGGUGAGGUAAUGGCUCACCAAGGCAACGAUCCCUAGCUGGUCUGAGAGGAUGAUCAGCCACACUGGAACUGAGACACGGUCCAGACUCCUACGGGAGGCAGCAGUGGGGAAUAUUGCACAAUGGGGGAAACCCUGAUGCAGCCAUGCCGCGUGUGUGAAGAAGGCCUUCGGGUUGUAAAGCACUUUCAGUAGGGAGGAAGGUAGUGUAG